UCAGGUAGGAAUACCCGCUGAACUUAAGCAUAUCAAU
rnacentral:rRNA from 2 species